rnacentral:rRNA from 1 species
CCUACGGGUGACAGCAGUGAGGAAUAUUGGUCAAUGGGCGCGAGCCUGAACCAGCCAAGUAGCGUGAAGGAUGACUGCCCUACGGGUUGUAAACUUCUUUUAUAAAGGAAUAAAGUGAGGCACGUGUGCCUCUUUGCAUGUACUUUAUGAAUAAGGAUCGGCUAACUCCGUGCCAGCAGCCGCGGUAAUACGGAGGGUCCGAGCGUUAUCCGGAUUUAUUGGGUUUAAAGGGAGCGUAGAUGGGUUGUUAAGUCAGUUGUGAAAGUUUGCGGCUCAACCGUGGAAUUGCAGUUGAUACUGGCAGACUUGAGUACAGUUGAGGUAGGCGGAAUUCGUGGUGUAGCGGUGAAAUGCUUAGAUAUCACGAAGAACUCCGAUUGCGAAGGCAGCUUACUAGACUGCAACUGACGUUGAUGCUCGAAAGUGUGGGUAUCAAACAGGAUUAGAUACCCGGGUAGUC